UUCAUUUGCAUGUUCCCAGAGCACAGCCCACAGCCUGAAGACUUAUUAAUAGGCUGGUCACAGGCUGUGCACGGUCAAUCUCUGCUAGGACACAACAUGGACAUGAGGGUCCCUGCUCAGCUCCUGGGGCUCCUGCUGCUCUGGCUCCCAGGUGCCAGGUGUGACAUCCAGAUGACCCAGUCUCCAUCCUCUCUGCCUGCUUCUCUAGGAGACAAAGUCACCAUCAGCUGCCGGGCGAGUCAGGGCAUUAGCAGUACUUUACACUGGUAUCAGCAGAAACCAGGGAAAUCUCCUAAGCUCCUGAUCUAUGGGGCAUCCAGUUUGCAAACUGGGGUGCCCUCAAGGUUCAGUGGCAGUGGGUCUGGGACAGAUUUCACUCUCACCAUCAACAAUCUGGAAGCUGAAGAUGUUGGAAUUUAUUUCUGUCAACAAGGUUACAGUACCCCUCGCACAGUGCUACAAGCCCAAACAUAAACCAUCGAGGGAGAUAGAAGUGUGAGGUUGGGCUUCCCCAGCUGCUCCUCCUGGGGUCUCCAUCUGCUGAGGG